rnacentral:rRNA from 1 species
CCUACGGGAGGCAGCAGUGGGGAAUAUUGCACAAUGGGGGAAACCCUGAUGCAGCGACGCCGCGUGAGUGAAGAAGUAUUUCGGUAUGUAAAGCUCUAUCAGCAGGGAAGAAAAUGACGGUACCUGAUUAAGAAGCCCCUGCUAACUACGGGCCAGCAGCCGCGGUAAUACGGAGGGGGCAAGCGUUAUCCGGAUGUACUGGGGGGAAAGGGAGCGUAGACGGCAGCACAAGGCUGGAGUGAAAUGCCGGGGCUUAACCCCGGAACUGCUUUGGAAACUGUGCAGCUAGAGUGCAGGAGAGGUAAGUGGAAUUCCUGGUGUAGCGGUGAAAUGCGUAGAUAUUAGGAGGAACACCAGUGGCGAAGGCGGCUUACUGGACUGUAACUGACGUUGAGGCUCGAAAGCGUGGGGAGCAAACAGGAUUAGAUACCCCUGUAGUC